rnacentral:lncRNA from 1 species
CCAGGUACCCCAAACUGCGGGGCCGUGACGCUCCCCCCGUGCCCCCCAGCUCCCCCCAGACACAGCCCCGGGGUCCCCAGGCAAAUCCGAUGCCCUGGGGUCAAACCCUGGGGGCCCAGCUGGGGGCCUGGGGAUGUUUUCUCUGGCAGAUGAGCCCGGUGUCACUCCGGGCUGAGGAUCGGGACCCUUUUGGACCCCGCUCCCUUCCCAAGCCGUGGUGUGGGUGCCACCAAUCCCCGGGUGGCACCUGUGGGGUUGUGCCAUCUGCCCCAUGGGUUGUCCCAUCUGCAUGGCAGCACCGUGGCCGGGUUGGGGGGAGCUCCUGCCCCUGGGCUCUUUGUUCCCAGAGCUGCCCCCCCAGCAGAACCCCUCUCCCUGCAGGCGCUGGUGCUGGAGCAGGCGGCGCAGGGCUCGGGCCCCCCUGACCUCCGCAUGCAGUACCUGCGCCAGAUCCAGGCCAACCACGAGAUGCUGCUGAAGGAGGCUCAGUCCCUGCGCGACCAGCUGCCCCUGGGCGAGGAGAGCGCGGUGACGGCGGAGAAGCUCCUGCAGGUCUACAGGCAGCUGCGCAACCCCAGCCUGGUUCUGCUGUGAGCAGAGCGGGGGCACCCAGAGCGCCCCGGACACCCCCCGGGGAUAAGAGGGGACCCCCAAAUUGGGGCAGCAGCCCCUGCUGGGGGCCGCCCGGCCAGGGCACGCGGCGGCGGUGCCGGGCGGGUUGUGUGUGUGCGUGUUUCGUGGUCGUGUUGUGGGCAGCGCCGAGGGCGCGGGGCUGCGGCGCGGUUCCCCCCGGGGGGAGGCGGGGAGGGGGGCACCACCCGGCGGCAGAGCAGGGGGCUUCUGGGCUGGCCCAGCCCGGCCCUGCCGCCCACCCCCCCCCACAUCCCACCCCCUUCACCCCCCCGGCAGCCCCGGGGCCGUGCUGUCUCUCGUGGGGUCGUUUUAGCCGUGGUAGUUUUAGCGCUCUCCCGGUGGCUGCGGUGCCGUGCCGGCCGGGGGCUGUGCCCCCCACCCUGCACCACCUCGCCUUCCAGGAGCAGGACAAGCAGGGUGCCCAGGGGGGAGCCCCCCCCCCCCCCCCCCCCUUUUUCCGCUGCGCGGGGGAGGGGGGGUUGUGGGGGUGUUUCCCCCCCCCCCCCCCAGUUCUGUUUCUAGAAAUGAUCUCGUAUCUCUGUGGUGGGGCAGCGGGGUUUGGCCCAGGCCUCCCCCUGCGUGCUCCGCUGUCUGUAACUCUGUCGUCUGCCAUGAAAACGAUCGUGCCGCUCAGCCAGCUGCCUGUCUCUUCUUUUCCAUCCCCUUGGCACCUGGGGGUGCUUAGGGGGCAGCUCUGCAGAGCCCUGCAGCCCCUCGGCACCCCAAAUCCCAGUCCCGUUGGUGUGGGUCUGCUCGGCUCCAUCCCCAGCUGCCCGUGGGGUGUCCCUGUUCCCCUCUGCCACCACCUGCAGCAACCCCGGGUCCCUGCACACUUAAACCAGCCCUUUAUGGGGGCACUGGGGCUCUGUGGGGCAGCAGUCCCCUGGUUAUAGGGUCACUGGGACGGGGCAGGGGCAGGAUCCCGACCCGCUGCGCCCUUGCCGUGGGAGGCGAAGGAGGAGACGUGGCCCUGGUGCAAUCCAGACGCAUUUUAAUGCCACGAGUACAGGGGGGUUGGGGACACAGCUGCCACAGACGAUGCCACCGCCGGCUCUGCCACCACCCUCAGCCCGCCCGGCUCUUCCCGGCCACCCCAUCCCCAGGAGCAGGGUGGGUUUGGGACCCCCACGGUGCCGGUGCCGCGGCCACCCCGUCCCCAGCGCCCGGUGGCUCAGUACUCCCAGAGCGUGGCCCGCAGCACCGACUCGCUGUCGGCCCGCAGGGUGCCGGCCGGGUCCCCCCGCAGGUAGCGCCCGUUCUUCCCUUUGAUGGCCACGCGCCCGCGCUCCCGGAACUCGAAGAAGAAAUCCUCGGAGAGGUCCCCGUCGCUGCAAACCGCCCCGCUGCUCGCCACGUACCAGAACUUGCCCCCCUGGCCUGCGGAGAGCCCCCAGGGGGCCAUCACCGGGGUCCAUCCAAGCCAUCGGCAGCCCCCUACCCACCCCGUGUCCCCUCACCCCCCCCUAGGACCCGCCACCCACCUCGGAUCUGGUAGGCGCCGUCGCUGAAGCCCACGUGGAAGACGUCGUAGACGGAGCGGUUGGAGUCGAGCAGGUUGGAGCCGCGGUGGUAGCAGACGAAGCCGUGCUCGCCCCGCAGCACCAGCAUGGGCCGGUUGAUCAGCUUCAGGGUGAACUCCUCAUCCUCCCCUGCGCAGAGCUGGCGUCAGCGGGGUGGGGACCCCCAGCUCCCACCGUGCCCUCCCCAAAAAAUAAAAUAUCACUCACCCACGGUGUCGCUGACGGC